CACGUAGGGUGCGAGCGUUUGUCCGGAAUUAUUGGGCGUAAAGAGCUCGUAGGCGGUGUGUCGCGUCGGCCGUGAAAACCUGCAGCUUAACUGUGGGCUUGCGGUCGAUACGGGCAUCACUGGAGUUCGGCAGGGGGAGACUGGAAUUCCUGGUGUAGCGGUGAAAUGCGCAGAUAGUCAGGAGGAACACCGGUGGCGAAGGCGGGUCUCUGGGCCGAUAACUGAC
rnacentral:rRNA from 1 species